rnacentral:ribozyme from 12 species
AUUUUUUUGCGCCUUUUCUUCUUUUUUUUUUGCUCCCGCGCCAGCAGCAGCGCUUCCCUUUUAUUUUACUUAUUAUUGAUGAAGAUGUCCAUUUUUUAAAACUAGGAAGGAUAGUAU